rnacentral:rRNA from 1 species
GACGAACGCUGGCGGCGUGCUUAAUACAUGCAAGUCGAACGGAGCCUAGCCGGUAGUUUACUACAGGCGAAAGCUUAGUGGCGGACGGGUGAGUAACGCGUGGGCAAUCUGCCCCUAAGUCCGGGAUAACAGAGCGAAAGUUCUGCUAAGACCGGAUACUCUUCCUUGGUCGCAUGGCGGAGGAAGGAAAGGAUACGCUUAGGGAUGAGCCCGCGUCCCAUUAGCUAGUUGGUGAGGUAACGGCCCACCAAGGCGACGAUGGGUAGCCGGCCUGAGAGGGUGGACGGCCACACUGGGACUGAGACACGGCCCAGACUCCUACGGGAGGCAGCAGUAGGGAAUUUUCCGCAAUGGGGGAAACCCUGACGGAGCAACGCCGCGUGCAGGAAGGAGCCCUUCGGGGUGUAAACUGCUGUCGUGUAGGGAGAAGGGUACUAAGGUGAACAAUCUUAGUACUUGACGGUACUACAGGAGGAAGCCCAGGCUAACCUCGUG